rnacentral:lncRNA from 1 species
CGGACCUCUGGGGCCUUCUUCGGGCUCCAAGCACUCUGGGCAGGAGGACCGUUGUCCGGCCGACGUGGAAAGCUAGGGGACAAAUCUCAAGCACCCAGAAGGCUACAAAACUCAGCGCUCUCCUUGCCCUGGGCCUGGCUCAGUCUUCUGGAUUUGGUUUCAGACUUGGCCAACAUCCCUCUACUAUCUUCCCAGCUGGUGUUCAAGAAUAGCCCCCCUCCACUGGAUUCAGGAUCCCACACUAAACCGCAGCUUCCCAUCUGGGGACUUCCCUGUUCAGCUUCCUCAGACCGUCCUCUCCCCGGUUCCUGAUGAAGGCCGUCUGCGUAGAACCUGCCUCUGGACUCAGGAAGCGCAAGCCUUUCCUUCCUUCUCGAAUCGUAAGUGACCACAACGUCCUGUUUGCUUUGCAGCACCUAAUACGUAAACUUUUAUUAUGGGAGUGUGUGAUCGCAGGUUGUAUUUUUAGUAGAUUUAUUGAAUUGGUAAAUAUGUAUUUAAUGUCAACUAUGUUUCAAGAAGACUCAUCGCUGCCAAAUGCACAGAAGUGAGAGAAAUCAGAUCACUUCCUGUACAGAGUUUGCAUUCCAAGGGGGCUGGGAGACAACACAGAAGAAAGUGAAGAAAAACUCGAGAUUAUGUGAGCUAAUGAGCUAAGAAGACGAUAAUUCAAGGGGUUUGAAGACUUGGAGGUGGCGGGGCGUGCAUGGGGCUUGCUGAUUUAAUAAGGUAGUGAGGAAAAGGGCAUCUGAGGGGAAAAUGUUGGAGAUCCUCAAAACCUUAAGUUCAAAGACUCUCCCCCCCCCUUUUUUUUUUUUGCUUUUUUAGGGUCGCACCCAUGGCCUAUGAACGUCGCAGACGUGGGUUGGAUCCCGCGUUGCUGUGACCCUGGCGAAGGCCGGUGGGGAUAGGUCCGAUUAGCUCCUAGUCUGGGAACCGGGUGCGGCCCUGGAAAAUACAAAAAAUAAAAAAUGAAAAUAAGAUAACUUGAUGAAGAUUAUAAUCUGUGUUUCCUUUAUCAUUUGUGCAUUCAUUUUUCAUUUAUUGAUUAAUUCUUUCAGAAGCAUUUGUUGAAAUUUACUGUGGGUCAGGGUUUACACAUACACUCUAUUUGUAGUUAAAUCUUUUGAUAUUAUUCUACCAGUAUACAGUGUGCUUUCCUGAUGGACCGGCAUUUAAAUUGACUGUUAUUUCUAACUGUCAAUUUUUUAAGGCACGUUUUUGGAAGAACACCAACAAUGCAAUAUAAGUAGGCUAUCAUAACUUCUUAUAUUAUUAUGAAAAUAUUUCUUAUUUUAUUAUGAAAAUAUUUCUUAUAUUAUUAAAAUGACUCGAUUUAAUGUAUAUUUUCAGAGUGUUAUCUCUUUGAACAAAAUUCUGAAUGAGACAUGGUUGAAAGAAGGCUUUAAAAGUCAUGUAUGAAAGAUGUGAAAAAACCAAAUAACUUUCUAAUGUCACUUCCUAAAACUAAAUACUGUUUUACAUACGUGUAGCAGAGAUGAAGCAGUAAAUAUUUAAAAUGGCAAGAUGGAUAAAUAAGACACUGUGAUGACUCAUAUGGAAAAUGGCUUUUGAGCUUAUUUUAAAACGUUUUCUAUACACUAGAUCUUUAUUUAAAGUUUACUUAGGGUGUAAAUGAGUUGCAUAGGGUUUUUUCCACCACUCUUUACAAGUGAAUAGUGCUUCUUACUAAGAUGAGCUUGUUCAGAAUGCACUACUUAAUUCUCAGGUUUUAAUGAGCCACACAAUUCAGAGGCAACCACGGUACUUCUUCACGUUAUUUUGUUCAACUACGGAAGAAACUGUUUUCGAUGUUGGAUGAUAGUAUUAAUGGAUUUUUCAAAUUACGCCGUGAUAAAAGUCUGCAGCUGUUUGCUGCUGAGAAGGAAGAGAGGUAGUACUGAAAAGGGCUGGUAUGAAAUUGCAAUGAGAAAUUGCAAUUCAGUCACUCAAAUAUGUGAUAUCAGUAUGUUUUUCAUUUGGAAGCAAGAAGUUAGAGGCAAAAUAAAUAACUGACAUUUUAAAAGAACAAAUGGACUAAAAUGCUACUUUCAAAAACAAUGUUUUUUUUCUGCCGUAAUUCCCUGGCAAUGGUUAGUUCCAUAAUUACAUAUAUUCCUCCAAUAUCUCAAAUUAUUUAUUAUAAACUAUAUACUCUAAAACUAUGCCAAAUAUAUAAUGAUUAGAUUUGUAAUCAUGUAUAUAAAUGUAUAUGCACACACACGCACACUUUCUCAUUAAUCUUGCAAACUCUAAUGAGUAGCAAGAGUGACAUCAAUAAAAUAAAGUGAUAUAAUAGUGGUUAGUUCCAAAGACCCAUCCUUAUACAGAAACUUUGAAAAUUCAAAGAAAAACUGUCAGAAUCAACACUUUGGAAAACAGUCAAAGCUAUAUAGGAACCAAGGAAAAAAGUGAAUCAGGACAAAAAUAACUCAAAAAUGGGAGGAAAGCUUUGUAAUAUUUUUACCGGUGCUUGUCCCACCUCUAACCAGGCUCAGCAGUUGUCUGGAAGACAGCAGCCCACGUCUCCACCUCGGGACCCGGUUCCUGGGGAAGGUCUGGGGAGCAGCACAGACCUUCCUCUCAAAGCAUAUGUUGCUCUCAUUUCUAACCUGUCUGGGUGCUACGUAGGGACUGACAUAAGGAGCUUGCCAUUUUUUGCCAAAUCUGGAACUCAAUCAGGGCAGAAAAGCAGCAGACAUUCCCCGUAACUAUCAUAAGGUAAGGAAACAGUAUCUGUGGCUUGAGGUAGAUGUCUUGGCACCAAAAAGUGCCAAGUCUGGACGGAAAAGCUGAGUGAGAGCAUAUUUGGGAAAUGAGGGUCUUCAAGACACCUGCAUACAGGCAACUGAGGGGGCCAUACACAUACUCGACACAGAACCCAGGCUCAGAGAAGACCCUAUGCCUCCCUCUGGGUGAUCUCCAGGCUCAGGACCAGAGGAAGUGAAGCCUGAGGCUAAAUUGCUGCAAGUGAGCCCCACACAGAGCUGCCCUGCAAAGACGAGGCGGGCUCUCCAUUUCUUUCUCUCUAGUUUUGUUUCCUACUCUCUUUCUCAUCUCUCCUUCCUCCCCCUUCCCUUUUUUCCCUCCCUCCCUUCCUUCCUUCCUUCCUUCUUUCUUUCUUUUUUUUUUUUUUCCCACUGUACAGCAAGGGGGUCAGGUUAUCCUUACAUGUAUACAUUACAAUUACAGUUUUCCUUCCUUCCUUCCUCUUUGGGCUUUUGCUUUUAAGUAAGUAAAACAAGUCAGAUCAGCUAUUGUUUUGUAAUAACUUCAUGUGGCUGAUGCUAUUUUAUUCCAGAAUGUUGCAGUAUUUGCCAUGUUCUCUAGCAGUAGAUGAAGAGUAAAUCAUAUAUGUGAACAUGAAAAUAUAUAAAAAUAAGAAAUAGGAGAGCUGACUGUGGUUAUAGAGGAGGAUCUUAUCAAAUAGAAGGGGGAAAUAAAGGCAAAACAUGAGUUCUCAGCAAUAGAAUCAUCCCCCCUUCCCCAGCCUACAACCCAGAGUUGUCAGGUUUUUGGUAACAUGUAUGAAUCUUGAAACAAUACAGUGUUACUGAGCUAGGCUGGGACCUGGGAUCUUUUGCUGCAGUGCUUGCACCUGGUCAAACAUCUCUUCAAGCAAGGAAAUAACAAAGAAAUAAUAAGGACUAAAAAUAAGUGCAUGCAUGCACAGUGGGGCAAGUUAUGGACAACGAGAUACAAAAAGACUUAAAACAAAACCUGCCACUUCUGAAGAGCUAGAGCAAAAGCAGGAUACUACACAUGCCCUCUGCACACAACACCACCAAAGGGCUGGCCAGACCACCUAAACCAUCGCUGUGGCCCAACCCCUGGACCCACCCUGACCCUCACCUCAUGUAAGGAACCAGCUCACGCCCACUCAGGGAGUGAGCAAGUGAGCAGAGGAAACUAUUGCUUGUUUUCACUCCCCACUGCUGUAGCCAAGGUCCCAAUAAAGACGUGCCUGAAUUUCUUGCCUGCCCUCUUCUCAGUUUCUCUGGAUUUAGGAGGCCAAGAACCCUCGUUGGUAUCACUACUAUUGAUGUAUUACCAGAGCAGAAACUUUUUUCCUGCAAAAAUUCAGAGAUACUUCCCUCACUAUGACAUUCCAUAAGAUAUGCAAGAAAUUAAUGCAUUUUUGCUUCUCUAAGUAUACAUGUAAAAUUUUACUUUGCCUUUAGAAUUUUGUAAAUACUUUCAAAUUAAUCAUUAAUAGAACUAAAUUGUAUUCUCAUAAUUAUUAUUACUUAGUAAUUACCAGACAUAACAGGCAUAAAUGACAUGUAACUGUAUUGAAAUUAAAAGAGAAAUGCCAAGUGUGUACAGAUGCUCUAAUAAUAGAUGAUAUCGAAUGCAGUUUUUGUCAAAAUAUUUUCCUUAAAUAAACUUUUAGCCAUUAGAGGAAGAUUUUUCUUAAGUAUGAAAAAAUUGACAAGUUAGCCAGGUAAACAUUGCAUUUUAUUUCCUUACAUGAUAUUAAGCAAAAUCUAAAUUACCAAAUACAUUGAGGUGUAUAAAAUACAUAUUUUUCUAGGUAAUGUGACUUAAAAAUUUUUUAAAUCAAAAUAAAUUAAUUUAUCUUGUGCUAAAAUGGUAAAGUACUUAAAAUACUUCUUUCAAAUAGCAACUUAAUCAUACCAGAAGAAAAGGAAAUAACUGGUAAUUAACUAAGUCCAUUUUUAUUGUGCGCACAAUUCAUAUGACAAUUCUUAUACCCAGGGAGUUGCUGGGCACCGUUAGUAUCCUGCCCAGGAAAGCCAAGCUUACAAUUUUCGUAACUUUUAAAAUCAACAGUAUUUUUCCUCUGAGGUCAUAUCGGGUCAGUCUUUGGUGAGUGAAAAGAACAUGCCAAGGUCAAUGAAAAUUAUCAGAGGAGAAUGUUGAUGGAGAUUAAUUUUAGAGGAAGAUAGAUGGGCCAAAGCAGAGAAGAAAUGACUGUAGAUGAUUAGUGUCUAUGGUUUAGAGAGACUCAUUUUAGCUGAAGAGUGUUACCACAAUCUCUUAUUCAACCUGACUUGCUUUAUUAUUAUUAGGUGUUAAUAAUUCAGCAAUUAUGUUUGAAUUUAUUUGACCUUAAUAGUAAUUAUGGCACCCUAAUACUAAUGUAUGUUAGUACAAUAAGCAAGAAACAUCAGGACUGGAGUUCCCAUCGUAACUCAGCAGAAAUGAAUCUGACUAGUAUCCAUGAGGACGCAGGUUCAGUCCCUGGCCUUGCUCAGUGGGUUAAGGAUUGGACUACGAGCUGUGGUGUAGGUCACAGAUGUAGCUUGGAUCUGGUGUUGCUAUGGCUGUGGUGUAGGCCGGCAGCUAUAGCUCAGAUUUGAUCCCUAGCCUGGGAAUCUCCAUAUGCUGCGGGUAAGGCCCUAUAAAGCAAAAGAAGAAAGACAGAAACAUCGUGAUCAAAUUGGAUCUUCCAAUGCAAUAUUGAUAUUGCAUACCAUUGGCAAUUAAUAAUAAUUAAGACUGUUGUAUCAUGGUAGCAAUUGUACUAUGAUAUUAUGUAAUUAUUUUUUAACUUUAUUUUUUGCUUGGUGCUAGCUGGGUAGGAAGACUUGGCAGGGGUUUGUUUUGUUUGAGAUCAUUGAUUUUGGCCAAGAGGGUUGUAAUGCAAGGCAGUAGGCUAAGUUUACCAUCUAGGAAGCCAGAUCAGAGCAGAGGCUGAGAGAUGACAUAAAUAGCAGUCUAGAAACAUUACCCUGGAAGAUGAUAAGCCAGUGGUUCACGCCCGUGAUCCUCAGCCCAUUGUAGGACUCUAGAAUCACUGCAGUGUGCAGAAUCCAGAUAGCCACGAUAAAAUAAAUAGUACUAUGUAUUCAUCCAGAUGCUUAUUGAGUUCCUACUGUGUCGUAGCUGCUGUUCCACACACACACACACACACACACACAGUUCAUUAUUGCCAGAAGCAGAUCAGAGUUGAUUUUCCCCUCAUUUCCCCUCAGGUCACAUUUCAGAGGCAGUGAGUUAGAUAGGCAUCUGGUGGUUGACCAUUUCCCAGGUCUUUCUUCCUCUUUGACAAGCCACCCUUCUCUCCUCCUAUGCUUGACUGUUUAUGGGAUGCUACAGGCGGGUCCACAAACAUGCUGAUUCCUUGAGGCUUUUGAGUUUACGAGAAGAGCCUCAGUUCUAACAGUCUUGAAGGGAGCUUCAGUAAUACAAGUGCAUCCUUCGCUUGCCAGUCAUGAUGGAUAUUCAUAGCCAAACAGCAGUGAAUUAUUCUACAAAACAACAGCAGCAGCAACUACAAGAAACUUCUGGUGACGUGAGGAUAGACAUGAACACAGGUCAUGGCCAUGGGUAUUGCAUAUGUCCACACUCAUCAAAUUGUACACGUUGACUAGAACAUGGGAAAUAAGGGUCAUGUUUUUCAAAUAUAUGUAGAUGCUGUUUUAAUGUCAAAAUAUUUUAAGGGUUAAUUUAUUCAUUUAGCAAAUACUUUUUAAAUUUCUUUUAUGUGCCAGACUCAAAUAUUUUAAGCUGUUUUCUCAGUCAAUGAACAGCAAAACUACAACAACCUUGUAGAUUUAUGGGCAUUUUUUUGUCAUUUAAAAUGCAUGUUCUUAUGAAAUAACAGUAUACAAGGAUAAGGAACUAUCUACCGAAUGUUUAUCACAGUGGGGUUUUUAAGAAUUAAAAGUAGUAAACUAACCCAAAUAUUUAAUAACAAAAGGUAUGAUUAAAUUCAAUAGGGGAUACAAUGAUACACUAUGGGGCUAUCAAAAUUAUAAUGUAGAUGUAUAAUUAUUGAGGUGGGGAAAAAAGCCCUGUAACACUGAAAAAGAAAAAA